UAUCUCCAUUUUUCUUUUCGCGCUUCUUCCACUUCGCGCAUGGGGGGAAUCAAUCACUCUCUCACUAAGGCAGUUUCAUCUCUCUAAAUCCCACCUCCGUCGUCAUCGGAAAUACUCACCUUCCGCAAUUCUCCCCUAUAAAAGCCCUAAUUCUUACUCCCAACUAAACCCCCAAACUUUCCAAUUCUAGGGCUUCCAUUUCACCGGAAUUUUCAACGAUGCCUUCUGUGAAAGUCACCGGCAAAAUAAUCCGCCUGGAGCUUGAGAACUUCAAAUCCUAUAAAGGCCACCAAGUCAUCGGUCCGUUCUACGACUUCACGGCUAUAAUCGGGCCUAAUGGCUCCGGGAAGUCGAAUCUAAUGGACGCCAUAAGCUUCGUCCUGGGCGUCCGUACAGGGCAGCUCCGUGGGGCUCAGCUGCGGGACCUUAUUUAUGCGUUCGAUGACCGCGAGAAACAGCAGAAGGGGCGUAGGGCGUUCGUCAUGCUCGUUUACCAGCGUGCGGAUGGGUCGGAGAUCAAGUUCACUCGGUCAAUCACGCCUGCUGGUAGUAGCGAGUACAGGAUUAAUGACAGUAUGGUGAACUGGGACGACUACAAUGCGGAGUUGAAAAAUCUUGGUAUCCUUGUUAAAGCUCGGAAUUUCCUUGUUUUUCAGGGAGAUGUGGAAUCUAUUGCUUCGAAGAACCCCAAGGAGCUAACAGCCUUACUAGAACAAAUAUCUGGCUCUGAAGAAUACAAAAGAUCGUAUGAAGAACUAGAAGUGCAAAAGGCUGAAGCUGAUGAAAAGGCUGUCCUUGCUCAUCAGAAGAAGAAAACCAUUUCAGCCGAGAAAAAGCAGAAGAAGCUGCAGAAGGAGGAGGCUGAAAGGCAUCUCAAAUUGCAAGAGCAACUGAAAUCUUUGAAGCAGGAUAAUUACCUUUGGAAACUAUUCAACAUAGAGAAUGACAUUGAAAAAGCUAAUGAGGACCUUUCUGUUGAAGAGGAUAGCCUGAAAGAAAUUGUGCGUGAAUUGGAAACUUAUGAAGAUGAAUUAAAGAAAAAGAGCAAAGAACAAGCUGGAUAUAUGAAAGAGAUUCAACUACGCCGGAGGAAGAUUGCUGAGAAACAGAGUAGACUUGAUAAACAAUCUGAGCUUGUUAAGUUAAAGGAGGAGACAACUCGUAUAAACUCAAAGAUAAAAUCUACUAAUAAGGAACUGAGUAAGAGGAGAGAAGAGAAAAAGAGACAUGUGCAGGAGAUUGCGAAACUUGAAAAUGACUUGAGAGAUGUGACAAGGCAACUUGAAGAUUUGCGUGAGAAAAGCCAGGAUGCUGGUGGAAAGCUUCAGCUAGUUGACAGUGAAUUGGAGACAUAUCACCAGAUCAAAGAGGAGGCCGGGAUGAAAACUGCUAAGUUAAAAGGUGAAAAAGAGGUUUUAGACAGGCAACAAAAUGCUGAUAUGGAAGCACAAAAGAACUUGGAAGAGAAUGUUCAACAAUUGGAAAAUCGAAAAGAGGAACUGGAGUUGCAAGAGAAACAAAUGCAGACCAGGCUUAAGAAAAUUCUUGAUGCUGUUGGGAAACACAAAGAAGAACUUAUCAGAGUGCGUAAAGAACAACGUGAGAUGAAGGAUAAGCUUGGAGACUCUAAGCACAAACAUGAUAUGCUGAAGUCAAAGAUAAAUGAUGUAGAUCUUCAGCUACGGGAGUUGAAAGCUGACAGGCAUGAAAAUGAUAGAGAUGCCCGGAUGUCUGAGGCAGUUGAAACCCUUAAACGCCUUUUUCCUGGUGUGCAUGGUCGCAUGACAGAUCUUUGUAGGCCAACACAAAAGAAGUAUAACCUUGCAGUUACCGUUGCUAUGGGAAGAUUCAUGGACGCUGUAGUGGUUGAGGAUGAACAUACAGGGAAAGAAUGCAUUAAGUAUCUGAAAGAACAGAGGCUUCCACCACAGACAUUUAUUCCUCUUCUUUCAGUGCGUGUGAAACCAGUCAUAGAGAGGUUGCGCACUUUGGGUGGAACUGCUAAGCUGGCCUUUGAUGUGAUUCAAUUCGAUCCUGUGCUGGAAAAAGCUAUUAUAUUUGCUGUUGGAAAUACCUUAGUUUGUGAUGAUCUUGAUGAAGCUAAACAUCUGAGCUGGAGUGGACAAAGAUAUAAAGUUGUAACUACUAAUGGGAUCUUAUUGACCAAAUCGGGUACAAUGACUGGUGGCACAAGUGGUGGAAUGGAAGCACGCUCACAUAAAUGGGAUGACAAAAGAAUUGAGGGGCUUAAGAAGAAAAAAGAAGACCUGGAGUCUGAAUUGGAUAAGCUUGGGUCAAUAAGAGAGAUGCAGCUAAAGGAGUCUGAAGCAUCAGGCAAGAUUAGUGGCCUUGAAAAGAAGAUUCAGUAUACAGAAAUUGAGAAGAAAAGUAUCGAGGACAAACUGAACAAACUGAAGGUGGAAAAACGGAAUAUUGAAGAUGAGAUAGGGCGCUUCAGGCCUGAACUUGAAAAGUUGGAAAAAGUUAUUGCCACCAGAACAUCAAAGAUCCAAACACUGGAGAAAAGGAUCAAUGAUAUUGUUGACCUUAUCUACAAGAAAUUCAGUGAGUCUGUUGGUGUUAAGAACAUACGCGAAUAUGAAGAAAACCAUCUUAAGGCUAUUGAGCAGAUGGCUGCAGAUAGAUUCAACUUGCAUAGCCAGCAAUCGAAGCUAAAAUAUCAACUGGAGUAUGAGAAGAAACGAGAUGUUGGUUCGCGUAUUGCCAAGCUGGAAUCAACGAUUGCCAACUUAGAAAAUUCGUUGAGAGAUGUGAAGGAAAAGCAAAAGGAACUGGAGUCGGCAACUGAAACCGCAAAUGCUGAGAUCGAAGUUUUAAAUGAACAAGUGGAAGGUUUGAAUUCAAAAGCAGAGGAGUGCGAAAAGGAUAUUCAGGGAUGGAAGAAAAAGAUCUCUGCUGCUACAUCAAACAUUUCAAAGCAUAAUCGUCAGAUUAAGUCUAAGGAGAGUCUGAUAGAUCAAUUGAGUUUGCGUAAACAAGAGAUACUGGAGAAGUGUGAACUAGAGCACAUUGACAUUCCAAUAAUCUCUGACCCUAUGGAUACUGGGUCAUCAGGGCCAGGGCCUGUUAUUGAUUUCAGUACACUGAGUAGAUCGCUUCAGCAAAAGGCAAAACCAUCUGAAAGGGAGAAGAUCGAAGCAGAUUUUGCACAGAAAAUUGCUGCAUUGAUUUCUGAAAUUGAAAAAACUGCUCCAAAUUUGAAGGCACUAGAUCAGUAUGAAGCUGUCUUAGAGAAGGAAAGAGCUGCAUCAAAAGAGUGGGAAGCAGCCAGAGAUGAGCAGAAUAAGAUAACUUCAGAUUACAACAAAGUUAAGCAAAUGAGGCAUGAAUGCUUCAUGGCUGCUUUUAAUCACAUCUCAAAUAACAUUGACAAGAUAUACAAUGAACUCACGAAGAGCAACACCCACGCGGUGGGUGGGGCAAGCAGCACCCAUGCGGUGGGUGGAACAGCAUAUCUGAACUUGGAGAACCCCGAUGAGCCAUACCUUUAUGGCAUAAAAUACAGUGCUAUGCCACCAACAAAGCGAUACAGGGAUAUGUCACAACUAUCUGGUGGUGAGAAGACCGUUGCGGCACUUGCUUUGCUCUUUGCCAUCCACAGUUUCAAACCUUCACCGUUUUUCAUAUUGGAUGAAGUGGAUGCUGCAUUAGACAAUUUUGAAUGUCGCCAAGGUUGCUAGCAAGCUUUAUUCGAGCAAAAUCUUGUGGAGGAGCGAAAUUAGAGUGUGAUGUUGACUUUGGAUCUAGUUUCCAGAGCAUCGUGAUAUCUCUCAAGGAUAAUUUUUACGAUAAAGCUGACGCCUUGGUUGGUGCAUAUCGUGAUUCUGAGCGAGGAUGCUCACGAACCUUGACGUUCGAUUUAACCAAAUACUGGUUGACGAACGCCCACAGCAUUCUAUACAUCACCUGUGGCGAUAAGUUCAUUUAGGUGGUGAACCACAAGGGGCAGGCAGUGUUCAAGGGGCAGGUCCGGGAAGGGCAGGUGCUGGUGGUGGCCUCAGAACUUCGUGGUGUUGAAGCAAGCCGGCAAGCAGGGAUGCGAGUGGGUGGAGUUCCAGACCAACGCCAACGCCAACGCCAACGCCAUGAUCAACGCACUCAGCAGCCGCACCUCUGCCCUCAGGAGACACUUCUUUUCAGCUCCAGCAGGCCUUCAACCAGAAGAGUUGCUUCUGCUUGAGGAUGGUUCCAAUUUAGGGGACUCUAAUUUCAAUAAUAAUGAGACUAGUCAUGUAUGCCCACAAUGUUUUCGGAACAUGAAAGUAUCAAUAACAACUCAACACUAUCAUUCUGAACUUGCA